rnacentral:lncRNA from 1 species
ACAAGAUACUUAGUAAAUUUAUUAUAGAUAAAAUUAUAGACUUUGCUAUACCACCCUGCCCCAUAAAAGCAAAUAAUUCUAUUUUCAAUACUUUGUUUAUUCUACUCUUUCAAGUAAAACCUAUGAACACUUUGCUUCCUCUUGAUUUUGGCUUUACCCUAUCAGUCAUGAUUUUAUGGGCCAUGGACACAAAAUUUCCAAAAGGAAGGUAUAAUUUAGUAGAAAAAAUCUCAGGAAACAAAGAAAUAUUCAGCUAUGAUAUGCUGUAAAGUAAUGAACCGGGCAAAUGUAUGGAGAGAUAGAGGGGUGGAGAUCAAAAGCAACUCAUGUCAGGGAAAUCUAAUUUACCUAAAUUUGCCACCAAUCAAAUAGACCCAAAACUGCCAAUAUCUAAAGCAGGUUUGGGGGCUGUUUACCACAGUGAUUUCACUCAGCCGCAAAGGUAGAGGCCAGCUCUAAUUUUCACAGACAGAGAGGAUAAUGAAUCAUUUGUAAUGGAAAAUCUACCUGCAAAGAGUAUUAGGUAUCCUAAUAUGAAAUACUCUCCAAGUUGCUAUUCAGCUUAGCUGAACUGAUAAAUCCUUGCAGGAAAACAGCUGUAGCAAAAUUUCUGUGGUGAAGUUGCUAUGUAAUGAAAAUUUCCAAGGAAAUCCAAACUUCAGCAAAUGUGUGAUUAGUAAAUUGGUGCACUUCUGGAAGUCAGAGAAGGAUUCUUGAAGAGGUGAUGUUUAAUCUGAGUCUACAAACAAGGGAAGACAUAAAAGAUGUCUUUAAUGGCAAUACUUGGACCACUCAUGUAGUACUUUCUACAUACUAUCCUUUGUGGCUAUACAUGACUAAUAUAUUUGAUAUCUACACUCAGGUCCUAAAGUGUAAGAUGCAUAAAAGUUUGGUCAUUGUUUACUGGUAAAUGUUGGCUGAAUGUGGUGAGAUGUACCAGGGUGGCUGCUGGAUGACUUGUGCCUCUCUCUGGGCGGCUUGGCA